GCCUGUCGAAGUGUCGGAUGUUUUACAGGGUGGGGAGUGGGGAGCGCGCGAUGUCUUCUUCCAAGGACCUUCCGAGCCCCGACGGCGGCGGCACUGGCGAGGGAGUGUGGUCAUGGCCUUCCACGACGGCGGCGGGGAGAGAAUCCAGAAGGAGAUCCUGGAGCUCAACGCCGACUGCCCCACCGGCCCAAGGGCAACAAACUCUACCAUUGGGGAAGUGCAUGGCUGGCCUGCAGUCCUUUGUUCACUUGAAUCGCUUUUUUUCAACCCAAAAAGAAAAAUCCUAUGUGGAUUCUACCCAAUCAGCCAUCAAUUCCUUGUGCCAACGUGGGCAUGUGUGCAUGAGGAACUGAUACGAUGAGGGCAAUGGAUCAAAACCGGUAACAUUAAUCAUUACCCAGUUUUGAUCCUGGCAAUCCAGGAUUCUGGGAGGAGUGGACUGCAAACAAAUCUACUCUUUGGUCUUUUUUGCAUAAAAUGACCGUCUCAAGACUUGAAUCCAUGCUAUCACACUUAUUAAUCCAAGACAUUUACUUUUGUACAAAGCAGUCAUCCCUUUCCAUAGCAUUGCUCUUUAAAGCAUGGUGUGUGAGCAUUCUAACAUUAAAGAGCAUUGGUAAAUUCUUAUUCUUGUGACUACAAAUUGUUAUUUCUGUACAAAAGGAUUCUAAUGUAUUUAUUCUGCAACAACGCUGAUGAAUUUUACACAAUGAAAAGCUCGAUCCAUGGAU